rnacentral:rRNA from 1 species
GACGAACGCUGGCGGCGUGCCUAAUACAUGCAAGUAGAACGCUGAAGAGAGGAGCUUGCUCUUCUUGGAUGAGUUGCGAACGGGUGAGUAACGCGUAGGUAACCUGCCUGGUAGCGGGGGAUAACUAUUGGAAACGAUAGCUAAUACCGCAUAAUAGUAGAUGUUGCAUGACAUUUGCUUAAAAGGUGCAAUUGCAUCACUACCAGAUGGACCUGCGUUGUAUUAGCUAGUUGGUGAGGUAACGGCUCACCAAGGCAACGAUACAUAGCCGACCUGAGAGGGUGAUCGGCCACACUGGGACUGAGACACGGCCCAGACUCCUACGGGAGGCAGCAGUAGGGAAUCUUCGGCAAUGGACGGAAGUCUGACCGAGCAACGCCGCGUGAGUGAAGAAGGUUUUCGGAUCGUAAAGCUCUGUUGUAAGAGAAGAACGAGUGUGAGAGGGAAAGUUCACA